rnacentral:rRNA from 1 species
GACGAACGCUGGCGGCAUGCCUAAUACAUGCAAGUCGAACGCACGAAGUUGAAAAGCUUGCUUUUCGACCAAGUGAGUGGCGGACGGGUGAGUAACACGUGGGUAACCUGCCCAUAAGAGGGGGAUAACAUUCGGAAACGGAUGCUAAUACCGCAUAUUUCAAGUGACCGCAUGGUCGCUUGAUGAAAGGUGGCUUCGGCUACCACUUAUGGAUGGACCCGCGGUGCAUUAGUUAGUUGGUGAGGUAAUGGCUCACCAAGACCAUGAUGCAUAGCCGACCUGAGAGGGUGAUCGGCCACACUGGGACUGAGACACGGCCCAGACUCCUACGGGAGGCAGCAGUAGGGAAUCUUCCGCAAUGGACGAAAGUCUGACGGAGCAAUGCCGCGUGAGUGAAGAAGGUUUUCGGAUCGUAAAACUCUGUUGUUAGAGAAGAACAAGGAUGAGAGUAACUGCUCAUCCCCUGACGGUAUCUAACCAGAAAGCCACGGCUAACUACGUGCCAGCAGCCGCGGUAAUACGUAGGUGGCAAGCGUUGUCCGGAUUUAUUGGGCGUAAAGCGAGCGCAGGCGGUUCUUUAAGUCUGAUGUGAAAGCCCCCGGCUCAACCGGGGAGGGUCAUUGGAAACUGGAGAACUUGAGUGCAGAAGAGGAGAGUGGAAUUCCAUGUGUAGCGGUGAAAUGCGUAGAUAUAUGGAGGAACACCAGUGGCGAAGGCGACUCUCUGGUCUGUAACUGACGCUGAGGCUCGAAAGCGUGGGGAGCAAACAGGAU